GAUGGUAAUCCGCCCAUGUCUCCAGCUACAUGUGCAGUACCAGUAAUGAAAUAUUGACUGUACGGAUUGUGUCUACACGGUCCUUAUGUGACUAAUACUUCAUCUGUAUAAAAAGUACUAGUGAACUUUGUUUCGCUGUAGGCUUUUUUAGCUACAGGUGUAUCAUGGUAUUAUGAAGUUCUGCGUUUAAAGAAUUAUUCCAGGGGAUCAACGGCAGAACUGGAGGAAAUUUAGCCGGAUCGAUCUUAGGUUUAACAAUGACAACCAGAGGUUCAUCACCAUCUAAGAAGGACAUUUAGCCGGAUCGAUCUUAGGUUUAACAAUGGCGACGGGAGGUUCAUCACCAUCUAAGAAGGACAUUUAGCCGCAGCGAUCUUAGGUUAAACAAUGGCGACGGGAGGUGCAUCACGAUCUAAGAAGGUAGGAUUACAUCAGUUACAUAUUUGCAUUUAAUUGUC